rnacentral:rRNA from 1 species
GACGAACGCUGGCGGCGUGCUUAACACAUGCAAGUCGAACGGAAAGGCCCCCUUGUGGGGUACUCGAGUGGCGAACGGGUGAGUAACACGUGAGUAACCUACCCUUGACUUUGGGAUAACUUCAGGAAACUGGGGCUAAUACCGGAUAGGAGCUCCUGCUGCAUGGUGGGGGUUGGAAAGUUUCGGCGGUUGGGGAUGGACUCGCGGCUUAUCAGCUUGUUGGUGGGGUAGUGGCUCACCAAGGCUUUGACGGGUAGCCGGCCUGGGAGGGUGACCGGCCACAUUGGGACUGAGAUACGGCCCAGACUCCUACGGGAGGCAGCAGUGGGGAAUAUUGCACAAUGGGCGGAAGCCUGAUGCAGCAACGCCGCGUGCGGGAUGACGGCCUUCGGGUUGUAAACCGCUUUCGCCUGUGACGAAGCGUGAGUGACGGUAAUGGGUAAAGAAGCACCGGCUAACUACGUG